rnacentral:misc_RNA from 1 species
UCCGAGUUGACCCCGGCAGUCUCCUAUGAGUCCCCACCAUCACGUGCUGGCAACAUAGAACGAGGGUUGCGCUCGUUGCGGGACUUAACCCAACAUUUCACAACACGAGCUGACGACAGCCAUGCACCACCUGUGUAGCACCCUCGGAGGCGACUCCGUUUCGGGAGCUUGCAGCUACAUGUCAAGCCCAGGUAAGGUUCUUCGCGUUGCAUCGAAUUAAGCCACAUGCUCCGCCGCUUGUGCGGGCCCCCGUCAAUUCCUUUGAGUUUCGGUCUUGCGACCGUACUCCCCAGGCGGGGCGCUUAAUGCGUUAGCUCCGGCACGGAAGUCGUGGAAGACCCCCACACCUAGCGCCCAACGUUUACAGCGUGGACUAC